rnacentral:miRNA from 21 species
UGGUAGACUAUGGAACGUAGG